GCCUAUAGUCCCAGCUACUCGGAGGCUGAGAUGGGAGGAUCCCUUGAGUCCAGUUCUGGGCUGUAGUGCGCUAUGCAAUCAGGUGUCUGGCAAAGUUUGACAUCAGUAUGAUAGUCUCCUGGGAGUGGCGGCACUAGGUUGCCUAACCUAAGGAGGGGUAAACCAAUCCAGGUCAGAAACAGAGCAUGUCAAAGCUCCCGUGCUGAUCAGUAGUGGGAUUGCGCUGUGAAUAGCCACUGCACUCCAGCCUGGGCAAGAUAGUGAGACCCUGUCUCUU
rfam:Otolemur garnettii contig004367, whole genome shotgun sequence.